rnacentral:lncRNA from 1 species
AUGCAGCAUUUCCCACGUCAGAACCACACAGCAUCUCCCGUCUCGGGACAUCACGGCAUCUCCAAUUUGGGAAUGUGCAAUACCUCUUGUCUUGGGACUGUGCAGCACUUCCCACCACGCGGCAUCGCCCACCUCAUGCAGCAUCUCCUGUCUUGGGACCAUAUGGAACCUCCCAUCUCAGGACACGGUGCCAUCUCCCAUCUUGGGACCAUAUGGCAUCUCCCGUCUUGGGACCAUAUGGAACCUCCCAUCUCAGGACAUGGUGCCAUCUCCCAUCUUGGGACCAUAUGCCAUCUCCCAUCUUGGGACCGUACGGAACCUCCCAUCUCAGGACAUGGUGCCAUCUCCCAUCUUGGGACCGUAUGGAACCUCCCAUCUCAGGACACGGUGCCAUCUCCCAUCUUGGGACCAUAUGGAACCUCCCAUCUCAGGACACGGUGCCAUCUCCCAUCUUGGGACCAUAUGGAACCUCCCAUCUCAGAACACGGUGCCAUCUCCCAUCUUGGGACCAUAUGGAACCUCCCAUCUCAGGACAUGGUGCCAUCUCCCACCUCGGGACCCCGUGUGCAGCAUUCUCCCACCAUGGGAGCAAUGGCACUUCCUUCCCUCCUUCUCUCCCUCCCUCCCUUCCCGGCAGCCGCACUCAGCAGUCAGGAAAGCCAAGGGGAGCAGGGAGGUCUCCGUGCUGCCGGGGGGAACACAGCUGUGGUUCCACAGGGGGUGGGCAGUGGGGACCCCAAGCUCAGCACAGCGUCGGGAUUUGGACGCGUUCUGCUGCUCGGAGGUGGAAAUGUUGGUAUUUUUACUUUGGAUAUGAGCAGUUUUGAAGCUGGAGAAAGGGGUUUGGAAGGCUCCCUGCCUUUCGGGCUGUGCUCAAAGGCACACGAAGCGGUGAUGGAUCCUCUUAAAAUGAAACCAGGAGGUGCUGGGGAGGAAAGGCUCAGCGUAGCCCUCUUGGGUGCUGCAGAUGAGGUCGUAGCUCUCAGCACUUCAGCACUGCUGCGCUGA